CCAAUAGCGUAUAUUAAAGUUGUUGCAGUUAAAAAGCUCGUAGUUGAAUUUCGGGGUUAGUAGGUUGGUCAUGCCCCCGGUAUGUACUGAUCUCACUGAUUCCUCCUUCCUUAUGAACCGUAAUGCCAUUAAUUUGGUGUUGCGGGGAAUUUGGACUGUUACUUUGAAAAAAUUAGAGUGUUUAAAGCAAGCUAACGCUUGAAUACAUUAGCAUGGAAUAAUGAAAUAGGACGUUCGAUCUUAUUUUGUUGGUUUCUAGGAUUGACGUAAUGAUUAAUAGGGAUAGUUGGGGGCAUUAGUAUUCAAUUGUCAGAGGUGAAAUUCUUGGAUUUAUUGAAGACUAACUACUGCGAAAGCAUUUGCCAAGGAUGUUUUCAUUAAUCAAGAACGAAAGUUAGGGGAUCGAAGACGAUCAGAUACCGUCGUAGUCUUAACCAUAAACUAUGCCGACUAGGGAUCGGAUGAUGUUAAUUUUUUAAUGACUCAUUCGGCGCCUUACG
rnacentral:rRNA from 1 species